UCCAUCUCGAACCCAACUCCACAGCCCUAACCCGUGCCUGCCGCCGCCGCCCUCGUGCUCGAUCCACAGUCCUGCCGCCGGCCUCGCGCUCUACCCCGUUUUCAUGUCAUCGUCUCGGAGCUCGCACUACCUCGCCCCUAAGCUCCACCUCGUCAUCCACCCAUCCUUGCAGUCCGCCCCUCCCCCCGAGCUCCAUAUCCCGAGAUCGAGCCGUCGCCAUCUCGAUUCACAUCGAACCGCCGUCCUCACACCGCCCCCUCGACAUCCCGCUGUCGUCCUUGCCAGUCCCCGCUCCUGCUGCUGCCGGGGCUCCAUCUCCGGGCUCCCGCUGCUGUCCCACCUGCUGUUGCUGGGGCUCCAUCUCCGGGCUCUUGCUGCUGAUGGAUCUGCUGCUACCGGGGCUCCAUCUGCAGGCUCACGCUGCUGCUGGACCUGCUGCUACCGAGGAUCCAUCCCCUUCGAGCUAUGCCCCUCUCGAAGACAGUUGGCAUCGUGUCUGAGUGAGGUGAUGGCGGAAGACAAUAAUGAUCAUUGACACAUCAUAGAUGGAGCUGGAGGCAAUGCUGCAAAGAGUGUCAAAUGGAGGUGGUUUCUCAUGGUAGUCAAGAUGUGGUCCUACAGCCAUAUCUCUACUCCUAAUGGAGCAGUUGGUAGCCUCGUACGGUUUAUUUU